rnacentral:rRNA from 1 species
CAGCAGCCGCGGUAAGACAAAUGCGGCAAGCGUUGUUCGGAAUCACUGGGCAUAAAGGGCACGUAGGCGGCGUAGUAAGUUAACUGUGAAAUCCCCCGGCUCAACCGGGGAACUGCAGUUAAUACUGCUGUGCUAGAGUGCAGAAGAGGAGAGUGGAAUUCUAGGUGUAGCGGUGGAAUGCGAAGAUAUCUAGGAGAAGGCCGGUGGCGAAAGCGACUCUCUGGUCUGUUACUGACGCUGAGGUGCGAGAGCGCAGGUAGCGAACGGGAUUAGAUACCCCGGUAGUCUGUGCCGUAAACGAUGGGCACUAGAUGGUGGAGGCGCCGAUAGCUUUCUCCGUCGCAGCUAAUACGUUAAGUGCCCCGCCUGGGGAGUAUGGCCGCAAGGUUAAAACUCGAAGGAAUUGACGGGGGCCCACACAAGCGGUGGAGGAUGUGGCUUAAUUCGAGGAUACCCGUAAAACCUUACCGAGGCUUGACAUGCAGGUGGUAGUGAAGUGAAAGCGGAACGACCCGAAUAGGGAGCCUGCACAGGUGCUGCAUGGCUGUCGACAGCUCGUGUCGUGAGAUGUUAGGUUAAGCCCUGUAACGAGCGAAACCCUUGUGCUUAAUUGCCAGCACGUUAUGGCGGGGACCUUAAGCAGACUGCCCCGGCCAACGGGGAGGAAGGUGGGGAUGACGUCAAGUCAGCAUGGCCUUUAUGCCUCGGGCUGCACACGUCCUACAAUGGGCUGUACAAUGGGGACCCAAACCGCAAGGUGGAGGAAAUCCUAUAAAGCAGUCCUCAGUUCGGAUUGCAGGCUGAAAUUCGCCUGCAUGAAGAUGGAAUCGCUAGUA